rnacentral:rRNA from 1 species
UACGGAGGGAGCUAGCGUUGUUCGGAAUUACUGGGCGUAAAGCGCGCGUAGGCGGCUUUGUAAGUUAGAGGUGAAAGCCCGGAGCUCAACUCCGGAACUGCCUUUAAGACUGCAUCGCUUGAAUCCAGGAGAGGUGAGUGGAAUUCCGAGUGUAGAGGUGAAAUGCGUAGAUAUCGGAAGGAACAUCAGUGGCGAAAGCGACUUCCUGGACCAAUACUGACGCUCAUGUGCGAAAGCGUGGGGAGCAAACAGG